rnacentral:rRNA from 1 species
CCUACGGGAGGCAGCAGUGAGGAAUAUUGGUCAAUGGACGAGAGUCUGAACCAGCCAAGUAGCGUGAAGGAUGACUGCCCUAUGGGUUGUAAACUUCUUUUAUAAAGGAAUAAAACGAGGCACGUGUGCCUUUUUGCAUGUACUUUAUGAAUAAGGAUCGGCUAACUCCGUGCCAGCAGCCGCGGUAAUACGGAGGGUCCGAGCGUUAUCCGGAUUUAUUGGGUUUAAAGGGAGCGUAGAUGGGUUGUUAAGUCAGUUGUGAAAGUUUGCGGCUCAACCGUAAAAUUGCAAUUUAUACUGGCAGUCUUGAGUACAGUUGAGGUAGGCGGAAUUCGUGGUGUAGCAGUGAAAUGCUUAGAUAUCACGAAGAACCCCGAUUGCGAAGGCAGCUUACUAAACUGUGACUGACAUUGAUGCUCGAAAGUGUGGGUAUCAAACAGGAUUAGAUACCCGAGUAGUC